rnacentral:tRNA from 1 species
GAGAGGCCUUAGCUUAAUUAAAGUGUUUGAGUUGCAAUCAUGAGAUGUAGUUGUGUUAUUACAGGUCUU